UACGUAGGGUGCAAGCGUUGUUCGGAAUUACUGGGCGUAAAGCGCACGUAGGCGGCUUUGUAAGUUAGAGGUGAAAGCCCAGGGCUCAACCCUGGAAUUGCCUUUAAGACUGCAUCGCUUGAACAUCGGAGAGGUAAGUGGAAUUCCGAGUGUAGAGGUGAAAUGCGUAGAUAUUCGGAAGAACACCAGUGGCGAAGGCGACUUACUGGACGAUUGUUGACGCUGAGGUGCGAAAGCGUGGGGAGCAAACAGG
rnacentral:rRNA from 1 species